CUCCUGGAGGACUAGUGGUUAGGCCACAAUGCUCUUACCGCUGCAUCGCCCGAGUUCGAUUCUCGCACCAGGGAA